UAGGGAAUCUUCCACAAUGGGCGAAAGCCUGAUGGAGCAACGCCGCGUGCAGGAUGAAGGCCUUCGGGUUGUAAACUGCUUUUCUACAUGAUGAAUAUGACAGUAAUGUAGGAAUAAGGGACGGCUAACUACGUGCCAGCAGCCGCGGUCAUACGUAGGUCCCAAGCGUUAUCCGGAAUCACUGGGCGUAAAGAGUUGCGUAGGCGGCUUAGUAAGUUGGUAGUGAAAGCGUGCGGCUCAACCGCAUAAUCAUUAUCAAAACUGCUGAGCUAGAGUAUAUGAGAGGUCACUGGAAUUCCUUGUGUAGGAGUGAAAUCCGUAGAUAUAAGGAGGAACACCAAUGGCGUAGGCAGGUGACUGGCAUAUUACUGACGCUAAGGCACGAAAGCGUGGGGAGCGAACGGGAUUAGAUACCCCCGUAGUCC
rnacentral:rRNA from 1 species